AUCGUUCGCCCGCUGGUGCUCCUUCUGUGGCUCUCGCGGUUGCUUCUGCCUUCUAUUUGCGUUGCCAUGGCAGCGGCGGGGGAACCUGGGCCUUUUUCUAAAGCAGUUGCUGCUUUAGGGAACUGCAGCGGCUGACGGCUUGCAGAAAGCGAUGGCAGGGGCUUUAACCUCAGGAGCUCCUUCUGAGUAUCCAGGAAGAGUGGGAGAUUCUUCAUUGCCAGGAUGUGGGUUGUAUGCUGAUAAACAGGAGCAGAGUACAGUUGUUCCUGCUUUUGUUAAGUCUGUGUGUUCAUGCUACCUAUGCACUGGAAAUCAGUGAGAUGUAAAAUUUAGAACCUGGAAUUUGAGCUCCAUAAUAUUAGUA